rnacentral:rRNA from 1 species
AACUUUCAACAACGGAUCUCUUGGUUCUGGCAUCGAUGAAGAACGCAGCGAAAUGCGAUAAGUAAUGUGAAUUGCAGAAUUUAGUGAAUCAUCGAAUCUUUGAACGCACAUUGCGCCCCUUGGUAUUCCGAGGGGCAUGCCUGUUCGAGCGUCAU